AAUUUCAGUUAUUUUGCAAUUUGAUAGCAAGUAUAAGAACUUCACCAAAUGGGAAAAAAACUAAGAAACAACAAAUAUUUGUUUUCCAGAU